GGACAGGAUCCAGACCCCGCCAAAGGGGAGCGUGUCCCCUCCUGCCCUGGUGCCACCAGCUCUCCAUCUGGGGACACUUUGGGGCUGCCCUGGCGCUUGGCGCAGUCCCAGGGGCAUCUCCCUGCCCUCUCCCCUGCGCCGGGGGGCAGGCAGGUCCCCCCUCACCACACCACCCCUCCCCAUCCCACUGGGCUCUCGUGGAGAUGGCAGGCAGGGACACACUGAGACCACUUGCUCACGGGCCACCAAACCAGCCCUGGCACCCAGGGGCUGCUGGAGCAACAGGUCCCACGUUCCUCUACCCCUCCUCACCGUGUUGUCCCCUAUAUGAAGGUACAUACAAACGUUUUUUGCUGCUGCUGGCUUUGGGGGCCUUUUUUUGGCGUGGGGGGAGCCGGGCUGGCCGGUACAGCCCCCCAGCCAGUGCGUGGGGGAGAGGGCUGCGCCGUGACCGGCUCUUUUUAGGAAUCUGGCACUCACAGGGUGAUAAAUCUUAUGGAUUUUUGCAAGAAAUCUGGCUCCUGGAGCCUCGCCGGCCAGUGGCACGGGAAAGCAUCCUGCCCCGGCCGGGGAGAAGCCGGGCUGCUCCUCCAGACGUGUGGAGUGAGGAUCAAAGGAGGCCGGGGUGGAAAUGUGUGGGAAAGGGUGCCAGAGGACAGGACGGAUGUUCCCGGCCGAGCCAAGGCAGCAGCUCCGCCGGCGCUGGCUCCCGGGGCUGGGCCCUGGCAGCCCGGGACAGAGAUUGGGUUUUGUGCUCACGCUUUGGGGCUGGGAGAGCCACGGGGAAAACGUGCAGACGAGACGUUCACCUGCAAAAACCCCGCCGGGGCAGUGAGUGCCCCCGGGUGCCGGUGUCCUGCCCCCCCGGGACACCCCGCUGCCGCUCCGCACCUGGGCUUUGCAGCACUUUGCCUUUUAUUUCAGGGUUUCUUUUUGCCAGCAGUGGAUCUCGCAGGGAAGGCACGGGAGCACUGCUGCACAAGAUUUGCCAGCACCUGGUGAGACAGGGCUAUAGCAGACAUGGCCAGUGUCACCUGGGCAGCAUCAGCGCGGUUGCCACACGCAUCCCAUGGGACAGAGGGACAGGGCUGGCUCUGGAAACACCCAAACCUCUCCGGAUUUCUCCCCAGGAGCUCAUCCCCAGGACAGGACUCGGCCCAGGAGCCAGGUUUGCAGCCACCCUCCCUCCCUGGGGUGCCAACGGGGGUCCGGGGUCCCCCGCAGAAACGAGGGCCCGGCAGGAGCUCGCAGCCAUCCCGCCCCGGCAGCUUGUGGCUGGGCUUUCUACCCCUCAGCCUGCUCCAGACUUUGCACGGGGAGAAGUGAUUUGUCUGCAAAUGUUAUGUGGUUAAAAUAAAUGCAGGGAAUUUUAAUCCUGGGAAUUUGGA
rnacentral:lncRNA from 1 species